rnacentral:rRNA from 1 species
UACGGGGGGGGGCAAGCGUUGUUCGGAAUUACUGGGCGUAAAGGGUGCGUAGGCGGUUCGCUAAGUUGGAUGUGAAAACUCUGGGCUUAACCCAGAGCCUGCAUCCAAUACUGACGAGCUAGAGUUCUGGAGGGGGUAGCGGAAUUCCUGGUGUAGCGGUGAAAUGCGUAGAUAUCAGGAGGAACACCGGUGGCGAAGGCGGCUACCUGGACAGAGUCUGACGCUGAGGCGCGAAAGCUAGGGGAGCAAACAGG